rnacentral:rRNA from 1 species
UACGUAGGGGGCAAGCGUUAUCCGGAAUUACUGGGUGUAAAGGGUGAGUAGGCGGCAUGGUAAGCCAGAUGUGAAAGCCUUGGGCUUAACCCGAGGAUUGCAUUUGGAACUAUCAAGCUAGAGUACAGGAGAGGAAAGCGGAAUUCCUAGUGUAGCGGUGAAAUGCGUAGAUAUUAGGAAGAACACCAGUGGCGAAGGCGGCUUUCUGGACUGAAACUGACGCUGAGGCACGAAAGCGUGGGGAGCGAGCAGG